GCACCUUUGUCUCCCAUGGAGAUGCAGACCACUCUAGUUCACAUCAAUGCACUUUUGUAAAAAUACAAAUCAAACCAUUUUUAUUUUAAAGCCAACAUCUCUCCAGAAAGACCGAAUUACUCUGACACCAGCCACGAAUUAAGACUGCUGUCUGAAAGACUCAUAGGUUUAUUCACAGAACACUCAAAUAACAAAACUGAGACUAACAUUUCUGAAUUGGAAAAUAUCUCCAACUCAACUUUACUCACCGCUAGACGAUUUAUUCAUUAUUAGGCCAUUUGAAUAAAAUUAGUUAAAGUUCAGUGUUGACUAAUCAUGUUAAUCUUUUAGGAUAGUUUUUUUGAAAAAGUGACAAUUUAAAUAUAUGGUGUCUAUUUGGGUCAGAGGUUGCGAAUUGGGGGGUUAAAAAGGAAAAGCCCAACAAGGCAGGAGGAGCAGCGCCCACUAGACAUGUGCAAUUUGUUUCGUUCCGAAUGUAUAUUUGGACAUUCCGAUGCCUACGAAUGUCUGAAGUGUGAAUUGCUGUAUUUCCAAAGUGGGUUAUGGUUUAAGGUUAGUGGUUAGGGUUUGGAGUUAGGGUUAGG